GGAAACAGGAAGUCAAUGAGUUAAAUAUGAAUAAAUCAGAAUAAUCCAGCUGGUCAUAGUAGAAAACAUGGCUGUUUGAGUCUGGAAACAGGAGAUCCUCAGCUUUAGCCAGACUGUUUAGGAUGUAGGGGGAGCAGAUCACAGUUUCAGCAUGUGGAGGUUGCACUUUAAUCAACAAAAUAAACAACAAUUUCAAUUCAAACACCUUGCUGCUAAAUUAUUGAUUAAAUAGACAUGAGCACAACAACACAUUUUAUUCUGUUCUUCAGCCAUCAGAUUGGUGCAAAGUGUUAUCCUACCCGUGUUGCCAUUUGGUCCAAUGUAAAUAAAUUAAUAGUGGAAGUUUAAGUUCAUAGCUAGCAAAUUGUAUGACUAAAUUUAUGCUAUGAAUGGGUAAAGCUUGGAUUUGAAAUUUAAUAACUCAUAUUGUAUUUGCAACAAAAAAAUGACAGAGUGAGAGCUCUUAGCAGCAAACUAGCUUUGGUGUAAACUUAUCUGGUAACCAUGGGAACCAAGAAUUUAGGCCGUUUGGAAAAUAAACGGCUCCUUUACAUACGUGGGAAGAUAUUCUUCAUUGUUCUGAACGCAGCGGUUUACCCCUCGGAGUGAUGCUUCCUCUCACUCUCUAGGAUCUCUGCAGCCGUCCUCUCAGCUGACACGUCGGAGUAGAUUCUCUGCCUGGAAACGUUGGAAACUGAUCGGAACCGCUGUCAGACAGAGACACGGACCUCCCCGGACCCCCAGGGGCUGAUUAGGUCUGAAAAUUGACAAUGGGAGGAGGUCAGAGUCAUGAGAAGGAGGAUGAAAAGCAAAGAGGAGGAGCUGAAGAACAUAAGAAUCCUGAGGAGGCUGAAUCUUCUGAAGAGUCGUCAGGUGAUCUGCCCCAGCGCAGGAUUGGAAACAGGAUGGUGGACAACAUGUGCUUCAUGAUCUCGUGCACCAACUGGUAUUGAACUGGGACUUCUGGAGGAAGAUGGAUGAAACAUUCCAGAAGCAAACCUUCAGGAAGUUUGGUCUUUAGUUCUCAGGUUUAAUUAUAAAUCUGUUGAAAAACCUUCCAGGCGUCAUUUAUGGCUUUGGAUCUGUUAGUUCAGUGUUUCCCAACCCUGGUCCUCAAGGCACACUGCCCUGCAUGUUUUAGGUAUUUUCUUGCUUCAGUGCAGCUGAUUUCAAUUGAUGACUGAUUAACAGGGUUUGUUGAACUGCAAUCAGUUGAAUCAGGCACAUUAAAGCAGGGAAACCUCUAAAACAUGUAGGACAGUGUGCCUUGAGGACCAGGGUUGGGAAACACUGGACUAGUUUACUGCAGGAAGAGCAGAGAGUUGCAUGAUGAGGUCAGAACCUGAGCUUCUGUUGGAUAGAGGAGGAUUCAUGGAUUCACCUUCUUAUUGUCUACCUAAAAUUAAUCUGAUUACCUUCAUUGCUGCAUCACGCUUGAUCCUGCAAAAGCUGACACCAGAAUUUAUACAUUUGUAGAGACGCUCUAAUGGCUGAAGGUAGAAACAUGGCUGCUGCUGCUAAGUUUUCUCUUUUUUUUUGAAUCAAUGAUCAGGAGAAGUCAGUUUUUCAUCCCUGCUUCCACUGAAAAACUUCAGUUUCUCUGCAGCUUCAGCAGAAAAGAUGCAACAGCUGAUGAUGUGGAGCUGAUUCAUCCAGAUUUAAAUUGAUGCUCUGAUGAUAAAGAUUAAAAUGAAAAGAUAAUAAUGGAUUUCUGAGGCUUCUAUGGAGUGUUUCACAUUGGAUCAAUAAAUUCUUUGCAUUGGAAAAACUAUGAAUAAAAAUACAAAUAAAAUAAUUGAAAACCU